CAUUAUGCCUAGUGGAGAUGGAUAUGAUCGGGUGGUUCCGCUGGUGGCACGAUGAUACUCCAGUGAUCCGUCAGUGAUCCAAAUUUGCCGUUAAAAAAAAAGAAUGAAAGCAUUAACAAACAUAAUUUAAUUAUGUUUUGUUGGAUGAACAGAAUCUAAGAAAUUCUGAUAGUAAUGCUUCGCCAUGAUCGUUAAUAGAACAUACUAUAAGUUGCACGGGCAUUGAUUAAGGCGUUGAUGGCCGGUACAGUUUCAGAAGGGGAUUAUCCAAGUUAGUGAAUCCUUACCAAAUUAUAAACACUAAUAUACAAUUCAAUUGUAUUUCUAUUAUAUCAGUAAGUGUUUUUACUGAUAUAUAUAAUGUUAUAGUAUAUAAAGAAUUUUUUUCAAAAUUUUUUUAAUUAAAAACUUGCGAAUCAAGGAUUUGGUGCUACAGUGUGAUGUCCUUCAUGAUGCUAGUGUAUCAGCUUCAUGAUAUUCUGAUGAUGUAGAUGUGAUAUUGGUGUUCAAAAGUGUUACUUGACCAAUUAAACUGAUUGUUAUUAGGGUACGUUGAGGUUUUUUAGACCUUUAAAAAUAAAAUAAAAAAACUGAUUAAACAGAUUUUAACUGUUAUUUGGGUUGGGUAUCAAAAACAAUAUCAUGCAUAAAAAAGCCUACACCUGAAUGUAGUUAUGGGACGGUUCAUCUAGCUGAGUAGCAUAGUUUGAAAUUGCCCUAUUGAUUACUGCUUGAUAAGGUCAUUCGCGUGUUGUAGUGGGUGUUAAACAACUAUAGUUACUUGUCACAUUGUAUUUUUUUUAUACCCGUUAAUAAAUACUAUUGUAGAAUAAGUAGUUCAUAUUAUCAUCAAUCAUCAUUAUUAGAGUAUAUUAUUUAGGGUUUUAGGACCGAGCUCACGGGCCGAUUUAUCUCUAUAUAUUGUAAUACUAUUGAAUGGAAUACAAUCAAUUCAGUCUUUUACCAUCUUACAAUCAUCAUCAAAAUGUUACCUCUAUUUAGAUAUCAAACAGUGUAUGCAUGCGCGUUAAUGUGGGUUUGAAAGCAGGGGUAUUUGAUUUGGUGUUAUUUUUCUACAAGAAUUGACUAAGAAUUAUUCAUUUCUUUCAUAUUAACAAGGUGUUGCAACCCUCUAUUCGAGAUGAUUAAACUUGUAAAGUGUUGAUUGAAGAGCAAGGCAUGUAGCUUUAUGGAUCCAAACUACUACAAAUACGGGUUUGACAUACUUUUUCAGUUUUGUCCCUACUUUGAUUCUUUCGUAAUAUUUUUUUUAUGUAGUUGUAAACGUUGUUAAUAGUGAAUUAUCUUUGACUCUAAAAAGUCAAAUGUGUGAUUCAAGGUACUUUUUUUUAAUCUAUGUAUAUGCAUGUACUGAUGUACACAUGAAACUAAACGAAAAUGAGAUGAUAAAGUCUGA
rnacentral:lncRNA from 1 species